rnacentral:rRNA from 1 species
AUGAACGCUAGCUACAGGCUUAACACAUGCAAGUCGAGGGGCAGCAUGGUCUUAGCUUGCUAAGGCCGAUGGCGACCGGCGCACGGGUGAGUAACACGUAUCCAACCUGCCGUCUACUCUUGGACAGCCUUCUGAAAGGAAGAUUAAUACAAGAUGGCAUCAUGAGUCCGCAUGUUCACAUGAUUAAAGGUAUUCCGGUAGACGAUGGGGAUGCGUUCCAUUAGAUAGUAGGCGGGGUAACGGCCCACCUAGUCUUCGAUGGAUAGGGGUUCUGAGAGGAAGGUCCCCCACAUUGGAACUGAGACACGGUCCAAACUCCUACGGGAGGCAGCAGUGAGGAAUAUUGGUCAAUGGGCGAGAGCCUGAACCAGCCAAGUAGCGUGAAGGAUGACUGCCCUAUGGGUUGUAAACUUCUUUUAUAAAGGAAUAAAGUCGGGUAUGCAUACCCGUUUGCAUGUACUUUAUGAAUAAGGAUCGGCUAACUCCGUGCCAGCAGCCGCGGUAAUACGGAGGAUCCGAGCGUUAUCCGGAUUUAUUGGGUUUAAAGGGAGCGUAGAUGGAUGUUUAAGUCAGUUGUGAAGGUUUGCGGCUCAACCGUAAAAUUGCAGUUGAUACUGGAUAUCUUGAGUGCAGUUGAGGCAGGCGGAAUUCGUGGUGUAGCGGUGAAAUGCUUAGAUAUCACGAAGAACUCCGAUUGCGAAGGCAGCCUGCUAAGCUGCAACUGACAUUGAGGCUCGAAAGUGUGGGUAUCAAACAGGAUUAGAUACCCUGGUAGUCCACACGGUAAACGAUGAAUACUCGCUGUUUGCGAUAUACGGCAAGCGGCCAAGCGAAAGCGUUAAGUAUUCCACCUGGGGAGUACGCCGGCAACGGUGAAACUCAAAGGAAUUGACGGGGGCCCGCACAAGCGGAGGAACAUGUGGUUUAAUUCGAUGAUACGCGAGGAACCUUACCCGGGCUUAAAUUGCAGAUGAAUUACGGUGAAAGCCGUAAGCCGCAAGGCAUCUGUGAAGGUGCUGCAUGGUUGUCGUCAGCUCGUGCCGUGAGGUGUCGGCUUAAGUGCCAUAACGAGCGCAACCCUUGUUGUCAGUUACUAACAGGUUCCGCUGAGGACUCUGACAAGACUGCCAUCGUAAGAUGUGAGGAAGGUGGGGAUGACGUCAAAUCAGCACGGCCCUUACGUCCGGGGCUACACACGUGUUACAAUGGGGGGUACAGAGGGCCGCUACCACGCGAGUGGAUGCCAAUCCCAAAAACCUCUCUCAGUUCGGACUGGAGUCUGCAACCCGACUCCACGAAGCUGGAUUCGCUAGUAAUCGCGCAUCAGCCACGGCGCGGUGAAUACGUUCCCGGGCCUUGUACACACCGCCCGUCACACCACGAGAGUUUGUAACACCCGAAGUCGGUGAGGUAACCUUUUAGGGGCCAGCCGCCUAAGGUGGGAUGGAUGAUUGGGGUG